GAUGAACGCUAGCUACAGGCUUAACACAUGCAAGUCGAGGGGUAACGAGAGGAAAGCUUGCUUUCCUUGUCGACGACCGGCGCACAGGUGAGUAACGCGUAUCCAACCUGCCCCCAACUAGGGAAUAACCUUGCGAAAGUAAGACUAAUACCCUAUAAUUUCCUCAGAUGACAUCUGACGAGGAAUAAAGAUUUAUCGGUUGUGGAUGUGGAUGCGUCUGAUUAGCUUGUUGGCGGGGUAACGGCCCACCAAGGCAACGAUCAGUAGGGGUUCUGAGAGGAAGGUCCCCCACAUUGGAACUGAGACACGGUCCAAACUCCUACGGGAGGCAGCAGUGAGGAAUAUUGGUCAAUGGGCGGAAGCCUGAACCAGCCAAGUAGCGUGCAGGAUGACGGCCCUAUGGUUGUAAACUGCUUUUAUACAGGAAUAAAGUUAGCCACGUGUGGUUAUUUGUAGGUACUGUAUGAAUAAGGACCGGCUAAUUCCGUGCCAGCCGCCGCCGUAA
rnacentral:rRNA from 1 species